rnacentral:rRNA from 1 species
GUUGGGCCUGCUCGGUGAUAUUUUUAACAGCUGCGGUAUUAUAACUGUACUAAGGUAGCAUAAUAAUUUGCCUUAUAAAUUAGGGCUAGAAUGAAUGGUUUGACGAAAAUUAUACUGUCUCUACUUUAAUUAUUAGAAAUUAAUUUUUAUAGUGAAAAAGCUUGGAUGAUUUAAAGGGACGAGAAGACCCUAUUGAGCUUUAUGUUAAAAUAUAUAUAAUUAUAAAAUAUUAUUUGUUUUUUAUUUUUGGUUGGGGUGAUCAAGGAAUAAAAUUUUAAUAGUAUAAUUUCCUUAUUAAUAUUAUUUGUUAGAAUAAUAAACCAAAAAUUUUGCUUAAAUGAUAAGUUACCAUAGGGAUAACAGCGUAAUUUUUUUAGAGAGUUCAUAUUAAAAAAAAAGAUUGCGACCUCGAUGUUGGAUUAAAAUAACCAUUAGGUGUAGAAGCUUUAUUUGGUAAAUCUGUUCGAUUUUUAAAAUUUUACAUGAUCAGAGUUCAGACCGG